AAGGGAUCAGUUUAAACUGAUGGCAAACCAGCUCCGUGAACGUCACCAGGGGCUCAAGAAAAGUACAGAGAGCUUAUAGAUGGUGACCCUUCUCUGCCUCCUGAAAAAAGAAACCAAGUCAAUCUGGCCCAGUUACUGAGAGACUCACGAGAACAGAACAAACAGCUGAGUGAGGAGAUAAAAGAAAUAAAGCAACGUUUAGCGGAGGUGCAGGGUGAUAACAAGCUGCUGAGGAUGGCCAUCGCAAAGCAGCGUCUAGGGGAUGAAGCGGUGGGAACUCGUCACUUUCCAGCUCAUGAGAGAGAAGAUCUUGUUCAGCAGUUAGAAAGAGCUAGAGAACAGGUGCAUUGCUCUUGGCAUUCCACACAUUUUAAUUCUCAAGAAUAUCGCAAUGUCUCAUAGUUUUUGUAGACACUGGUGUCAUAGAUUUGAAAACACACACACACACACAC